GGUAAAGUUGCAGAAUCGGUCACUCUAAGGAAUAUUUUCUAGCGCAUGCGUCGUGAGUCGCAGGUUUCGCGCUUCUUGAACAAUUUGUAGUGCUGUGUUGUCGCUUUGCAACGGUCAAAAUAUUCGAAUUGUUCUUUGUGAAAGUUUUGUGUUCUUUGAGACUAUUAUUGUGAAUUACAUUUUUUAUUUCUUUGGUAAGUAAAUUCUUUCUUCUAAUUUGAUCAUUAUUGCAUUAUUAAUUAUUGCAUUAUUAAUUAAACUAUUUUACUUUACAGGUUAUAUUUCCGUGGUGUUUUUAAAACAAUAUAUUUUCCUUAUUCUUCUGGUAAUUACAUUCUUAAUUUAUUGAUUGGUAUGCUCAUUUAAUAUAUUUUACUUUACAGAUUAUUUCCAUUAUUAACAGAUUAUUAACAUUAUAUUUGUACUCCUUUGGUAAGAUCAUUUUUAAUUUAUUUGUAGUAAUUUUUUAAGUUAUUUUACUUUAUAGAUUAUUUGGGUGCUAUAUUUUUAUAAUAUUACAUUUAUAUUAUUAUUAUAUUUAUAAUUUUUGAGUUAGUUUAGUGCAAUAGACUAUGGCUGUUCAGAGAAGGUCAAAGGCUCCUACUAGUAUUGUUGUGGAUAAUGUAGUUGAUAUAGAUUUGAAUGAAUCGUACAAUUUGGCUGGAUUAAGUUUUGGCAAUCCAUUGCUAGCAAUACAGUGGUGUGUUAGACGCGGAAUACUUAAGAAUAGGAGUAUAUGUGCCAACUGCAAUCAAGCCAUGUCAUUCAUAAAAAAAAAGUGUACAGAUGGAUACAUAUGGCGUUGCAAAGGGUGUGGAAAAUCAUCAUCAAUUAGGAGCGGAUCAUUUUUUUCCAACAGCAACUUAUCUGUAGAAAAAAUGUUAAAAAUAAUUUAUUGUUGGGCGUUUGAUAUGCCACAUGAAGUGGUUAAACGAGAAGUGGGGCUAGGGAUGGCGGCUACCCACACAAUGGUAGACUGGUCUAUGUUCUGUCGGGAACUCUGCGAGCAACACCUGGUAGGAAAUCCUGAGGUUUUAGGUGGAUGGGAUGAAGACGCUCAAGAGCCUAAGAUAGUAGAAAUCGAUGAAUCGAAAUUUUUUCAUCGAAAAUAUCAUCGUGGACGGUGGUUGCCUGGUGCAUGGGUUUUCGGUGGUAUUGAGCGUGGCUCUGGGCGUUGCUUCUUGGUGGAAGUUCCUGACAGAACUGCAGAAACCUUAUCUGCUAUAAUUCAAAGGUUGGUUGGAGAGGCGUAUUUAGGAAAGUAGAAGCAUGUAUUUGAUGGAUGCUAGAAUUUCGAAUUGAGUUAUUUUUUUUUUGUUUAUAAGUAUAAAAAUAUAACUUUAUUUAAUGGAAUAGGUACAUCUUACCAGGAACAAUAAUUAUGUCCGAUGGGUGGAGGGCAUAUGAAAAUAUCAAUCAAAUUGGCGGAGGAAUAUAUCACCAUGAAGUGAUUAUUCACGAACAUAAUUUUGUGAACACUGAAAACCGUGCAAUUCACACGCAGAAUGUGGAAAAUAUGUGGAUGAGGGCGAAAAGGAAACUCCGCCGCCAAUUUGGUACCUCACAAAACUUAUUUCCAUCGUACCUCCACGAGUUUAUUUGGAGGAACAAAUUUAAAAAUUAUAACUUGUUUAUGAGUACAAUAAUGUGUAUU